GUGCCAGCAGCCGCGGUAAGACAGAGGGGGCAAGCGUUGCUCGGAAUUACUGGGCGUAAAGGGCGCGUAGGCGGGACGGAAAGUCGGUCGUGAAAUCCUCCGGCUCAACCGGAGAACGGCGAUCGAUACUUCCGUUCUUGAGGGUUGCAGAGGAGACUGGAAUUCCCGGUGUAGCGGUGAAAUGUGUAGAGAUCGGGAGGAACACCGGUGGCGAAGGCGGGUCUCUGGGCAACUCCUGACGCUGAGGCGCGAAAGCGUGGGGAGCAAACGGGAUUAGAAACCCCCGUAGUCC
rnacentral:rRNA from 1 species